rnacentral:rRNA from 1 species
AGAGUUUGAUCCUGGCUCAGGAUGAACGCUAGCGGGAGGCCUAACACAUGCAAGCCGAGCGGUAUUUAUUCUUCGGAAUAGAGAGAGCGGCGUACGGGUGCGGAACACGUGUGCAACCUGCCUUUAUCAGGGGGAUAGCCUUUCGAAAGGAAGAUUAAUACCCCAUAAUAUUUAAGAUGGCAUCAUUUUAAAUUGAAAACUACGGUGGAUAAAGAUGGGCACGCGCAAGAUUAGAUAGUUGGUGAGGUAACGGCUCACCAAGUCAGUGAUCUUUAGGGGGCCUGAGAGGGUGAUCCCCCACACUGGUACUGAGACACGGACCAGACUCCUACGGGAGGCAGCAGUGAGGAAUAUUGGACAAUGGGUGAGAGCCUGAUCCAGCCAUCCCGCGUGAAGGACGACGGCCCUAUGGGUUGUAAACUUCUUUUGUAUAGGGAUAAACCUAGAUACGUGUAUCUAGCUGAAGGUACUAUACGAAUAAGCACCGGCUAACUCCGUGCCAGCAGCCGCGGUAAUACGGAGGGUGCAAGCGUUAUCCGGAUUUAUUGGGCUUAAAGGGUCCGUAGGCGGAUCAGUAAGUCAGUGGUGAAAUCUCAUAGCUCAACUAUGAAACUGCCAUUGAUACUGCUGGUCUUGAGUAAGGUAGAAGUAGCUGGAAUAAGUAGUGUAGCGGUGAAAUGCAUAGAUAUUACUUAGAACACCAAUUGCGAAGGCAGGUUACUAUGUCUUAACUGACGCUGAUGGACGAAAGCGUGGGGAGCGAACAGGAUUAGAUACCCUGGUAGUCCACGCUGUAAACGAUGGGUGCUAGGUGUUGUGGGUAUUGACCCCCGCAGUGCCGUCGCUAACGCAUUAAGCACCCCGCCUGGGGAGUACGGCCGCAAGGCUAAAACUCAAAGGAAUUGACGG